rnacentral:rRNA from 1 species
GACGAACGCUGGCGGCGUGCUUAACACAUGCAAGUCGAACGGAAAGGCCCUGCUUUUGUGGGGUGCUCGAGUGGCGAACGGGUGAGUAACACGUGAGUAACCUGCCCUUGACUUUGGGAUAACUUCAGGAAACUGGGGCUAAUACCGGAUAGGAGCUCCUGCUGCAUGGUGGGGGUUGGAAAGCUUCGGCGGUUGGGGAUGGACUCGCGGCUUAUCAGCUUGUUGGUGGGGUAGUGGCUUACCAAGGCUUUGACGGGUAGCCGGCCUGAGAGGGUGACCGGCCACAUUGGGACUGAGAUACGGCCCAGACUCCUACGGGAGGCAGCAGUGGGGAAUAUUGCACAAUGGGCGGAAGCCUGAUGCAGCAACGCCGCGUGCGGGAUGACGGCCUUCGGGUUGUAAACCGCUUUCGCCUGUGACGAAGCGUGAGUGACGGUAAUGGGUAAAGAAGCACCGGCUAACUACGUGCCAGCAGCCGCGGUGAUACGUAGGGUGCGAGCGUUGUCCGGAUUUAUUGGGCGUAAAGGGCUCGUAGGUGGUUGAUCGCGUCGGAAGUGUAAUCUUGGGGCUUAACCCUGAGCGUGCUUUCGAUACGGGUUGACUUGAGGAAGGUAGGGGAGAAUGGAAUUCCUGGUGGAGCGGUGGAAUGCGCAGAUAUCAGGAGGAACACCAGUGGCGAAGGCGGUUCUCUGGGCCUUUCCUGACGCUGAGGAGCGAAAGCGUGGGGAGCGAACAGGCUUAGAUACCCUGGUAGUCCACGCUGUAAACGGUGGGUACUAGGUGUGGGGUCCAUUCCACGGGUUCCGUGCCGUAGCUAACGCUUUAAGUACCCCGCCUGGGGAGUACGGCCGCAAGGCUAAAACUCAAAGGAAUUGACGGGGCCCCGCACAAGCGGCGGAGCAUGCGGAUUAAUUCGAUGCAACGCGUAGAACCUUACCUGGGUUUGACAUGGAUCGGGAGUGCUCAGAGAUGGGUGUGCCUCUUUUGGGGUCGGUUCACAGGUGGUGCAUGCCUGUCGUCAGCUCGUGUCGUGAGAUGUUGGGUUAAGUCCCGCAACGAGCGCAACCCUUGUUCACUGUUGCCAGCACGUUAUGGUGGGGACUCAGUGGAGACCGCCGGGGUCAACUCGGAGGAAGGUGGGGAUGACGUCAAGUCAUCAUGCCCCUUAUGUCCAGGGCUUCACGCAUGCUACAAUGGCUGGUACAGAGAGUGGCGAGCCUGUGAGGGUGAGCGAAUCUCGGAAAGCCGGUCUCAGUUCGGAUUGGGGUCUGCAACUCGACCUCAUGAAGUCGGAGUCGCUAGUAAUCGCAGAUCAGCAACGCUGCGGUGAAUACGUUCCCGGGGCU